rnacentral:misc_RNA from 1 species
GAAAUGCGAUACGUAAUGUGAAUUGCAACGCCCGUGAGUCAUCAAAUCUUUGAACGCAACUUGCACUGUUCGGUUCUCCGGACAGUAUAUCUGUUUGAGCAUGGGUCUAACCUCAAUAACUAAAUGUUAUUGGAAUUGAAUUUUCUAUGUUUAUCGCAUAGUGAAUGUUAAAAGCAGAUGACCUAGUCAUGAUGAUAUGAGGUUUUAUUAAGCCGACACUUCAUGUACUGAAUCCACAAUUUCUCCAUCUCAAAUCAGAUAAGAUUACCCGCUGAACUUAA